rnacentral:rRNA from 1 species
UACGAAAGGUGCAAGCGUUACUCGGAAUCACUGGGCGUAAAGCGCACGUAGGCGGACUCGUAGGUCAAUUGUGAAAUACCUGGGCUCAACCCGGGAACUGCAGUUGAAACCGCUUGUCUUGAAUACCUGAGAGGGUGGGGGAAUACCUGGUGGAGAAGUGAAAUUCAUAGAGAUCAGGUGGAACACCGGAGGCGAAGGCGCCUGCCUGGCAGUGUAUUGACGCUGAGGUGCGAAAGUGCGGGGAGCAAACAGG